rnacentral:lncRNA from 1 species
CCGAGGCUGAGCCUGCACCUGAAGGACUACGGGAAGUUCAACAGUGACACGCACUCCUGCCAUAUCAUUCAGUCCCGGCCCUGCCAGAAGCCCUCUGACUGUGGUGGCUGCCUGGGGCUCUACACCUGCAAGCUACCUGCUAGCAUCUGCAACCUGAAAGCCGUCUCCAGGCAGAGAGGUGGGUUCCUCCAAAGCAUCCAGAGCCCUUAAAGACAUGCUGAUCUCGGAGC